AGAGAGGGUUUCGGCUAGAGAGAGGAAGAGAAAGAAAAAAAAAUUAGCUCAUCAAUUCUUGGUCCAAAAAUCAUAAUCUUCUAGUAUUCCUAUUAAGUUGGAAACCCUCUUCAAUGUGAUACAAAUUUGGAAGCAAAAGAGUACUUUUUUUACAAAGUGGAAAUUCUUGAAAAAGAUAUUGGAGAGCCCGAGACUUGAGUCGGGAUUUGUUUGGCGAGUGAUCGAGAUUUGGUAGUGAGCGAUCGAGGUACAGACGUUUGUUCUGGUGACCCGCCAGUGUAGGAUACAUUCUGCUACUUUGGAGUGCUCCUUUGACUCGGAGCCCAUACUUUUGGUAAAGACCUCUCAUUGUAUAUGUCUCUGUAUAUAUGUAAGACUAUCUGGGGUACGGCGGGGCCCUGUCCCGUCAUAUGUUUCUGUUAUGUUUUGUAGAGGCCUGUAGUCAUAUAUGUGGGUCAUGGGUCAUGUUUGUUCGUUUGUGAUUAUGAUCUGCGUC